CAAUACCUCUUAGUUUCGUCCAGGUCUGGAGAUGAGUGUAGUUGGCGUUUUGUGGAUAUAUUUCUGGUCUUACGGAUGCCCCGGACAAGAGUCGAACUGGCCCACUGCUCUGCAUGUAUCCACAGAGGAAAAGACUGUAAAGGAUGGUGAGGAGAUGUCUUUCAGAAAUAUUCUCAAAUGUGCACAGACAAAGGGGACCUUAGAUGUUACAGCGGUACAAAUAUAUUGUUGCAUAGCAAAGCCUGAAGUGAGCUAAUGAAACUAAGUUCUGGUCCUCUAAGCAUGUAUUACACAUGAAAUGAAACAACAAAACAAAUCUGUGUGAAAAAGCAAGUGAAAAAUCGAUACUGCAUCCAGAAG